rnacentral:piRNA from 1 species
UCUCAUAGGGUCUCGUUGACA